rnacentral:rRNA from 1 species
ACAUGCAAGUCGAACGGGGAAAGCUUUCGGGUGAGUACUAGUGGCGCACGGGUGAGGAACGCGUGGAUAAUCUGCCUUAGAGUGGGGGAUAACUAGUCGAAAGAUUAGCUAAUACCGCAUAAGACCACAGGAGCUGCGGCUCUAGGGGUCAAAGGUUUUUCGCUCUAAGAUGAGUCCGCGUAAGAUUAGCUAGUUGGUGAGGUAACGGCUCACCAAGGCGACGAUCUUUAACUGGUCUGAGAGGAUGAUCAGUCACACUGGAACUGAGACACGGUCCAGACUCCUACGGGAGGCAGCAGUAGGGAAUAUUGCACAAUGGAGGAAACUCUGAUGCAGCGACGCCGCGUGAGUGAUGAAGGCCUUCGGGUCGUAAAGCUCUGUCGCAGGGGAAUAACACAAUGAAUGUACCCUGUAAGAAAGGAUCGGCUAACUUCGUGCCAGCAGCCGCGGUAAGACGAGGGAUCCUAGCGUUGUUCGGAAUUAUUGGGCGUAAAGCGGAUGUAGGUGGCUUUGUAAGUCAGAUGUGAAAGCCCAGGGCUCAACCCUGGAAGUGCAUUUGAUACUGCGAAGCUUGAGUGUCGGAGAGGUUACUAGAAUUGUUGGUGUAGUGGUGAAAUACGUAGAUAUCAACAGGAAUACCGGAGGCGAAGGCGGGUAACUGGCCGAACACUGACACUGAGAUCCGAAAGC